CCUUUGAUGAAUUGUUUUCAUAUAGUGGUGGCUAAUGCAACUUCUGCAAUGAUCAUUUUACAAAAAAAGAAAAAAAACUAAAAUAUUAAUUCUACCACCUUGUUGUAUAAGAUAUUUAAUAUUCUAAAAGUUGAAGACAAAUUCAUUCUGAGCACUUCAUAAAAAAAUAUUUAAUCUUGGAACUAUUAGAAUCAUAAAUAUACAUUUGACAAGCUAUAAAAGACACAUGGAAUUAUUGGUG
rnacentral:lncRNA from 1 species